ACGACCUAUAGCAGUAGGUGAGCAAUUUCGGUGAGAGUAAAACCUAACAUUUGAGCCGGAACGAAAAGCAAUAUGUAACGAUUGUAAAUUUCAGACGGAAAGCUGUCAUCUCCAUGAGGAGAACAUAACCUAAAAGACAUUUGACUGAGUUUGAAUUUAUGCUGUAGAAGCUCCAUUCCAAGAAGCAUUCAGACGACGGCGAAAGUCAAAUCUAGCGUGGAUCGAACAAAAAUCGGUGAAGAAAUCGAACAUUCCCGUAAGGAACGCACGACAAGCAGGACAUCAGGUCAAGUUCGGGUUCGAUCUCGUAAGACAGCACUAUUUUCGGAAGAAGGAAGAGGCUACUGCACAAGAUUGAUUCGCGCUUUCCGUGCUCAGAGCUAAUUGCGAAGAGGAAAUCUCCAAUAGAACGGAACAACGAAACUAGGAUCCCCCAGGUGAAGG